CCCCAUACUGCUGGGGGGUGCAUUUUGGUAAUGAAGUACUCCUUGAUUAUUUUGCAGGCUUUGAACCUGAGUCCAGGCCAGUAAUACCAUCCUGUCUUGCUAAAUUGCCCCAGCAGUUCUAAACACACGCAGUAUCCUUCUUUACCUCCUAU